GAGAGUAACUGCUCGCACCUUGACGGUACCUAACCAGAAAGCCACGGCUAACUACGUGCCAGCAGCCGCGGUAAUACGUAGGUGGCAAGCGUUGUCCGGAAUUAUUGGGCGUAAAGGGCUCGCAGGCGGUUUCUUAAGUCUGAUGUGAAAGCCCCCGGCUCAACCGGGGAGGGUCAUUGGAAACUGGGAAACUUGAGUGCAGAAGAGGAGAGUGGAAUUCCACGUGUAGCGGUGAAAUGCGUAGAGAUGUGGAGGAACACCAGUGGCGAAGGCGACUCUCUGGUCUGUAACUGACGCUGAGGAGCGAAAGCGUGGGGAGCGAACAGGAUUAGAUACCCUGGUAGUCCACGCCGUAAACGAUGAGUGCUAAGUGUUAGGGGGUUUCCGCCCCUUAGUGCUGCAGCUAACGCAUUAAGCACUCCGCCUGGGGAGUACGGUCGCAAGACUGAAACUCAAAGGAAUUGACGGGGGCCCGCACAAGCGGUGGAGCAUGUGGUUUAAUUCGAAGCAACGCGAAGAACCUUACCAGGUCUUGACAUCCUCUGACAACCCUAGAGAUAGGGCUUUCCCUUCGGGGACAGAGUGACAGGUGGUGCAUGGUUGUCGUCAGCUCGUGUCGUGAGAUGUUGGGUUAAGUCCCGCAACGAGCGCAACCCUUGAUUUUAGUUGCCAGCAUUCAGUUGGGCACUCUAAGGUGACUGCCGGUGACAAACCGGAGGAAGGUGGGGAUGACGUCAAAUCAUCAUGCCCCUUAUGACCUGGGCUACACACGUGCUACAAUGGACAGAACAAAGGGCUGCAAGACCGCAAGGUUUAGCCAAUCCCAUAAAUCUGUUCUCAGUUCGGAUCGCAGUCUGCAACUCGACUGCGUGAAGCUGGAAUCGCU
rnacentral:rRNA from 1 species